CACCCGUUUCGUUCAAAACCCCCGCAGGCGGAGGCGUAAACGUACCUCCAACCGUUGACGCGGAAUCGCUGCAAAACCCAAAGAGAAAAGGUAAUUGCGUGGAAAUUCGUGCAGCGACUUUUUCGGAUUGAAGGUUUUCGGCACGGUACACGCUAUACUCUUCCAUGGAGCUGUAAACGAUUCGCCUUGUUAAAGGUUUUCAUUGCGAGCUCAUAAACGACACAUUUCUGAUGAACGCGUUGGUCGCGAACAGCGAAAUAUCUACAAUACAACGUACAGUCUUGGGAAGUAAACUAGUGGUAUUACGCAUUUCUAAAAAGGACCGGCGUUAUGCUUCAAGGUUACCUGCGAUUUUGUAAGCCCCAACAAGUGCGGCCUUUGUAUUGUGGCAGGGCGGACAGCCAUUUGGUACUGUGAGUUUAACCGCCUGGCCGUCGUGGCAAAGAAGAGAAUCAUCUGGUGCUUGAAAGCCUCAACGAGUUUGACAGUUUCGACAUUAUGGCAGGAAAGAGACCUAUUUUGUACUUAGAAGCCAUAACGAGUUCGGCCGUCUGUCCGUUGUGGCAAAGAAGAUAGUCAUCUGGUACUUGAAAACUGUAAAGGGUUUGGCCGUCUGGAUUUUGCGGAAGAGAGGAGAGCUAUUUGGUACAUAAAAACCCCAGCGAGUUUAGCCGUCUGGCCGUUGUGGCAAAGAAAAGAAUCAUCUGGUGCUUGAAAGCCUCAAUGAGUUUGACCGUCUCGACAUUAUGGCAAGGAAGAGACCUAUUUUGUACUUGAAAGCCCUAAAGAGUUUGGCCGUCUGGCCGUUGUGGCAAAGAAGAGAAUCAUCUGGUACUUGAAAGCAUAUAUUACAUUUUUGAGCCUCUGAACUUCCCUGAUAGGUGCCAGAUUUCAUUUUUGAAAAUUAUUUAAAUACAUUUAAUAUAUUAACUGU